UUGUUACCAACUAUUACUGUUUUAGGCUCCAUCUGGACUAUUCUGAUCGAAAUUCCACUAUACUGUAUUUUACGUAAUGUACCAGAUUUUUUAAUGCUAUUCAUGACUUUUCGGCCGAAGUAUGUGUGACUUCUUCAAUAAUAAUUAUGAAUAAAAUAUAAACUACAAAACAAGUGGAAAAUGUUGUCCCUAUCAUGCGUUUAUCGUCUCGGGUAUAAGUUUGUUUGCUUAUUCCCCUCUCACGCAUACGUAAUAAUUGUUUCGUGUAAAUUAGACUGAGUAGUAUUAGUAGACUGUAAGCGCACAUUUUUUAAUCUAUCAUAUAUAUAUCUUUCUUUGAUGGCAACAUGCGUCUUGCAGUGAUACGUGCUAGAUAGGACAUUGUAAAGACAAUCAGCUUCGACUGAUCAUGAAUAAGAAACAAUGUCGAAACAAAUGCAUUAUGAUCAUAAGAUAGUAAGACAAAGAAAAACAAUAGCGGAUGAAAACAAAAGAAACGUUUUCUACUAUUCUUUAUAUGUCAUUUGUUUAGAUGAACAGUCACACGUGCGUCCACUACGUAAAAGGAUACAUUAUCCUUCGUUUCUCGCAUUUCAAGAUUACAAGAUAUUUACAUUACUUUCAUGCCUCAGACUACAAGUUCAGAUGUUCAAAAACAAUUGACUACCGCAUUGUUUCCGGCACCUGUGGCGCCUCCUCGCAGUUAAUAUUUAUUCAUUGUUUUUGUGUUAUACAAACCACAUGUUAGUACGUGUUUUUAAUCCUUUUUCGAAUUACGAAUACGAUGGGUGAUAAAAAGAAGAAGUCUAGGAGCCGGAAUCGCUCUGAGGAGAGAAGUAUUUCCAAGAAAUUAUGUAUAUUUGAAGAAAUGAUGGGAGAAAUGCUGACUAGCAUUGCAUCAUUCAGCAGACCAUGCUGACGAAGGAGUUGCCGGGUUUUUCUCUUGAUCCAAGAAGCCGAUUUAUAUCAUUGAAUUAAUAUACACGAGAGUUUAAUUCUUUGAUAACACUUUAUUCAGGCGGAUAAAGAUGGAAUCUGUUGUAUCCGGGAGAUAAAAUAGAUUCUCAUAUGGUAAUCUGACUUUAUCUGGAAGGUAAAGAGAUGAUGUUUGCUUUAAUUAUCCGAAAGAUAAUUGUAAACAAACAAACAAACCAUGAAAAAUGAAAAAUACUAUUUAAAUAAACAGUCACGAUUUACGUUGUGUCGUGGGCUAGCCUUGAAAUUAUCAUUUGAAGAAGGGGACCCUGUGGACCUGGUCUCAGAAAAAUCAUUGGAGGAUACACCAAGUUUGAGAGCCACAAGGGUCCCAGGAACAAUUGGUGUACUGAAAGAUGUGACCAACAGUCAACAUAAGAUCUUGUUUGGGGCUAUUGAUACGAAGGCCAUAAUCGGUAGUUCUGAGGCUCAGAUUAAUGAAGGAAAGAAAUACCUUGGUGCUAGUCUAAACAGCGAGGACAAGGAUUUUCUGUUAAAGAAAUACUCUAACUUAAAAUGAUUACACACACAAAUUAUCCUAUAAAACUUUUAUAUUUUAACAUUUUACGUAUCUUUACAUCUUUACGAAGAUAAUUUCUUAAACAUUAGUCUUUGUAAUUUUGUUUUGUAUGAUAUUUCAUAUAACUAUUGCCAAGAUGGAUGCUCGGCUUUUCGGGACAAGUAUCACAAUAGUAUGUUGUUUAAUGUCUUGUCGGGUAGACUUUACAAUCCUUCCUAACUUCUGUUAGAAUGUUAUGCAGCUUUCCAUUCAGGCGGAUCUUUUCGGAAUCGAAGGUUGAAGCUGAAUUUUGAUCACGUGCUUGGUGAAAAUCUCCAGUCAGUUGGUAAAGUUUUUACAUACCGCAAGUGAUUAAGCGGUUGUUCUCUUCUCUGAUGUUCAGUGGUUUUAUAAAGAAUAUAUGAAUUUAUUGGACAAAUUUCCAGACCCCAAAAAAACAGUUUACGCCACCAUUUCAAGGAUUUUCUUAAGAAAUAGUACGUUGAGGUAUAUUGAUCUACACGAUCGAAACCGCCCAUAUGUUUUAUAUAAUUUAUUAUAACAUUAGGUUUUUUAACGAUAAUUUUAAUAUCACUUCGUAAAAUUCUUUUUACAGUGCUCAUUCCUGCAUUAUACCAAUUGGUCAAGCACAUGACAACCCUCUUGUCCUUCCAUGCUAAAACCAAGGUAUUUCUUUAUGCUACUGUCGAUUUCUUGCGGAAUUUUGUUUUUUUUUUAUUUGAUUUGGCAAAUGCUUCCCAUUCGUUAAGAUUGUUCCUAUCAAGUGGCAUUUCAGUUUGAAUAAUUUUUCAACCAAGAUAAAGCUGGUGUAAUGCCGAUCGGUGAACAUAUGAUAAGCGAGAGUCAUCUCUCGAAUUGCGGCAUUAAAUCAUGUGGUGAGUGAGAGUCACCUCUCGAGUGCAAAGGAUUAACGGUCGUCUGUAUGAAUUUGUUUUCCGUUUAGUCUAUGUACUAGUCCCAUGGUGUUUACCAAGCUUCUGAAAUCAGUCGUAAACUAUUUGCGGUCGCAAGGUUUUUUAUGAAUGUUAUAUUUGAAUGACAUUUUAUAUCUCGGUAAGUCAAUAGAAGAGUGCGGGGACAAUCUUAAAUAGACAAUUGCUUUGCUCAAUCGUUUAGGUUUUAUCGUAAACCUUGAAAAGUCAAGGUUAUUACCUGAGAUUAGAUGUAGAUAUCUAAGGUUUUUUUACUAGAUUCAUCCAUUAUGAGAGUUGAGUUACCAGAAGAAAAGAAGUUCAGAUGAGUAAUUUUGAAAGGAGGCGAAUUUUUAAGAUUCGGAAUUUUGCUAAGUUGGUUGGUUCUUUGAUAGCAUGUUGUCCGGCUGUUGAAUACAGUCUAUUACAUUGUAAAUGGUUUGAGAGGGCUAAGCUUUGGGCCUUAAAUAAUAAUUGAAGGGCCUUUGACGCGACGAUGAAGAUGCCUAAUUGUAUCCAAAAAGAUUGUGAUUGGUGGAAGAAGGUCACAUCGGUUGCUAGUAUCAGGGAAUACAAAUUCAUCAGAAUGAUAUUUUCGGAUGCUUCACUGUCAGGCCGGGGAAGCUUUCUAUGGUGGUGAAAAUGCCAAUGUAUUUUGGGAUCAGGCAGAGAGAGAUCUCCAUAUCAAUUACCUGGAACUGAAGACAGCGCUAUUGGUUUUGAAAUGUUUCGCGGUAGAGUUGCAUGAUAUAGAUCAGAUAAUUUUUUACAGUGUCAGCCAGUAAAAUUCUCAAGUUCUUAGCCGAAAGAUUUAAUGAUAGGGUUGGCCACAGUGCACUUAACGCUGCUAGGGCUGCUCUUUCACCGAUAUCUAGUGAAGACAUUGCUAACAAUGUUCUCGUUAGCAGAUUUAUCAAAGCUAUGUUUAAAAUGCGACUUAAUCUAUACAAGUCGACAAAUACAAGUCGACUUGGAAAGUUGACUCGGUAUUUAGUUUCACUGUUCCCAUUAGAUACAUUGUCCUUGAGAAGGCUACCUAAGAAGCUAAUAGUUCUUUUGGUGUUAGAUAUUGCACAUAGGGCGCAGACUCUUAUUUUAAUAAAAAUAUCUAACAUAGAUAUUUUAGAGUUGAGAGUUGAAAUACGGAUUUUAGACAGGAUUAAGACGAGUCGACAAGUAUCAUAGCCGGUUUUGAAAUUUCUCUUUUUCAAGGAGAGACCAGAGCUGUGCAUCGUCAGGAUUGUGAUUGAAUGUGACGAAAAUAUUAAGGGGGACGACUGAUACCUUGUUCGUCUUUUUUCAAAAGCCACACGGUCCAGUGAAAAGCGAGACGAUAAGUCGCUGGAUAAAAGAAGUGUUAAUAUCUUUUGGAGUCGACAAGAAAUUUACGGCACAUUACGAGGGAUACAUUAACCUCCAGGCCGCAUAAGAGAGGCGUGAGCCUAAAGGAGAUUAAGAAGGUUGGUGCAUAGAUCACCGCGAAAUUCACGUUAGCCAUCAGUAGAGAAAAUAAAUAUAAAAGAUUGAAUAGUAAUAUUAACACAUUGCGUACAGGUCACGAGAUAUCUCGUUUUCAUGUUUUUUUUGACCAAAACGAUGACUUAAGCAACCAGAGAUAAAUAUUUUUGUUACGUUACGGUAAGGAAGCCUUGCGCGUUCUUAUGACGAAUGACGAAAUAACUGAAUGUUGAUAUUACGAAAAUGAAAAAAUAGUCAGUAUAGCUAGUACAUCAUUAGAUCUGUGCCGAUCGUCGUACGUACCGCACCUUAUAAAGUGUUUUAUUAUUGUACAUUUUGAAAUUUUCAAGUUCGUGUUUUAAUUUGUAAGGAAAUAGCUUUUUAAAAAUCAUUUAUAUUUUCAUUUGUUAGUGAAAAUUUAUAACAAACAGAAAUGUGAUAUUUUGUUGCAAAUUUGGAAAGAUAAAAAAGAAGUACAAAUGAUUUCGAAAAUUCAUAAAUUUGAAAUGGUUAAAUGUACUGGAUAUAAAACCAUGCAGAAACCGAAAUGCGUUGCAGACUAUAAUUUAAACAUGAACGGUGUCGACCUUGCUGUUCAGUAUCUAUAAUAUUACACAAUAUUGAGAAAAACAAUUAAAUGGCCAAAAAAGGUAAUAUUAUAUCUCAUCAACUGCGAUCUGUUCAAUGCAUUCAAGAUCUAUAAUUCGUAUAAUAAUGAAAAAAUGAAAUAUAAAGAUUUUUUUAUAAAUGAAAUUAUUAUGAAAUUAUAAUGGAAUUAUAAUGAAAUUAUGGACGACAGAAGAAAAAAAAUCAACAGAUACAGUUAUGGAUAUAGGACAAAGUAUUUUAAAUAAAACAAAUCAUCUAUGCGUCGAUGAUAUAGACUCUGAUAAUAUGAAACAGCAUAUACUUGAGCCAAUGACGUGUAAAGGCAAGAAGUUCCCAACCAAACAAUAUAAAGUCUAUUCGUCCAAUGGAAAAAGGAGUGAAACAACUGUUGCAAAUCGUGUCGAACACCAUUGCACGAUGGAAUAUGGUUUACUAGAUAUCACUCUAAAGGAUUAUUCAAAAUAUAAAAUCUAAAAGGAACUACACGAUUGGAUACGUUUUUCCUUAUUUUUACCAUAGAGUUAUCUUUCCAAAGUUCAUUAAAAUGAUUGAAUGAGUUACCGAGUAAUCUACGUGCA